rnacentral:lncRNA from 1 species
CCGUUUGAAUUUAGUUGUUAGAGACAGUCUCUAUCAUUUACAUGGUGAUGCAUCCGUGAACUUAAUUGAGUAAGCAGUGAAUGUCAUUGGAUCUGAGAGAUCCAGAGUUGAGAUAAACUUGAAGUAUAUGUGACACCUCAAGCUAUAUCAUAUAGAAGAAGAAAUAAUUAAUAGAUUAGAGAAAUAUGGGCUUUUGAGUUUAUUGAUUGUUGAGUUAUAUCUAGUUUGUGCAU